UACGGAGGGUGCAAGCGUUAUCCGGAUUUAUUGGGGUUAAAGGGUGCGUAGGCGGGUUGGUAAGUCAGUGGUGAAAUCUUCGAGCUUAACUCGGAAACUGCCAUUGAUACUAUCAGUCUUGAAUUAUCUGGAGGUAAGCGGAAUAUGUCAUGUAGCGGUGAAAUGCUUAGAUAUGACAUAGAACACCCAUUGCGAAGGCAGCUUACUACGGAUACAUUGACACUGAGGCACGAAAGCGUGGGGAUCAAACAGG
rnacentral:rRNA from 1 species